GCCUUCGUGGUGUAGUGGUCAGCACGCUCGACGCGUAACCGAGAGCUCCAUUGUUCGAUUCCCGGCGAAGGCG
rfam:Stegodyphus mimosarum contig115584, whole genome shotgun sequence.